rnacentral:rRNA from 1 species
AGUGAACGCUGGCGGUAGGCCUAACACAUGCAAGUCGAACGGAAGCACAGUAAGAUUUUGCUCUUACGGGUGGCGAGUGGCGGACGGGUGAGGAAUACAUCAGAAUCUACUUUUUCGUGGAGGAUAACGUAGGGAAACUUACGCUACUACAGCAUACGACGUACGGGUUAAAGCAAUGGAUCUUCGGACCUUGCGUGAUUGAAUGAGCCGAUGUCGGAUUAGCUAGUUGGCGUGGUAACGGCUCACCAAGGCGACGAUGCGUAGCUGGUCUGAGAGGAUGAUCAGCCACACUGGAACUGAGACACGGUCCAGACUCCUACGGGAGGCAGCAGUGGGGAAUAUUGCGCAAUGGGCGCAAGCCUGAUGCAGCAAUGCCGCGUGAGUGAAGAAGGUCUUCGGGUUGUAAAGCCCUGUUGUUGGGAAAGAAAAGCUGCAGAUUAAUACCUCGCUGUUUUGACGGUACCCAAACAAUAAGCAACGGCUAACUUCGUG